rnacentral:telomerase_RNA from 1 species
UUGUAGGGUCGAAUUAGCGAGUUUACGAGAGAAUACAAAGGUACUUCGAAGGUACAAGUUGUGUUCGUGGAGACCUAACCCAGACCUUAGAAUGGUAGAAUUUUCUGUCAUUUAAUUUACUGGUUUGUUCGCCCUACUUCCAGUCAAAAACACGAAAGGGUAUUCUCGUAAACUUCUAUUUUGCGGAUUCUUCCUGAAGGUAAAGAUUAUCUUGCUCUUCCUCACUAAAAUGCAUUAUUU